CUUAGAGAACUCUGGAGAAGGAACUCGGCAAAUUGACACCGUAACUUCGGAAGAAGGUGUGCCUUUAGUAGGUGAACCAUUUACUUGGGGAGCCCAAUGAGGCCGCAGAGAAUCGGUGGCUGCAACUGUUUAUUAAAAACACAGCACUCUGCAAAGACGAAAGUCGACGUAUAGGGUGUGACUCCUGCCCGGUGCUGGAAGAUUAAAUGAUGGGGUGCAAGCUCUUGACUGAAGUCCCAGUAAACGGCGGCCGUAACGAUAACGGUCCUAAGGUAGCGAAAUUCCUUGUCGGGUAAGUUCCGACCUGCACGAAUGGAGUAAUGAUGGCCACACUGUCUCCUCCAGAGACUCAGCGAAGUUGAAAUGUUUGUGAUGAUGCAAUCUCCCCGCGGAAAGACGGAAUGACCCCAUGAACCUUUACUGUAGCUUUACAUUGGACUUUGAACAGAUCUGUGUAGGAUAGGUGGGAGGCUUUGAAACCAGGACGCUAGUUUUGGUGGAGCCAACGUUGAAAUACCACCCUGGUGUGUUUGAGGUUCUAACCUUGGCCCGUUAUCCGGGUCGGGGACAGUGUAUGGUGGGCAGUUUGACUGGGGCGGUCUCCUCCCAAAGUGUAACGGAGGAGUUCGAAGGUACGCUAAAUACGGUCGGAAAUCGUGUUGAUAGUGCAUUGGCAUAAGCGUGCUUGACUGCGAGACUGACAAGUCGAGCAGGUACGAAAGUAGGACAAAGUGAUCCGGUGGUUCUGUAUGGAAGGGCCAUCGCUCAACGGAUAAAAGGUACUCUGGGGAUAACAGGCUGAUACCGCCCAAGAGUUCAUAUCGACGGCGGUGUUUGGCACCUCGAUGUCGGCUCAUCUCAUCCUGGGGCUGUAGCCGGUCCCAAGGGUAUGGCUGUUCGCCAUUUAAAGAGGUACGUGAGCUGGGUUUAAAACGUCGUGAGACAGUUUGGUCCCUAUCUUCCGUGGGCGCUGCAAGAUUGAGAGAGCCUGCUCCUAGUACGAGAGGACCGGAGUGGACGCACCUCUGGUGUAUCGGUUGUCACGCCAGUGGCAUUGCCGAGUAGCUAAGUGCGGAAGAGAUAACCGCUGAAGGCAUCUAAGCGGGAAACUCGUCUCAAGAUGAGUCUUGCCGGGGCCUUGAGCCCCCUGAAGAGUCGUUCGAGACCAGGACGUUGAUAGGCUGGGUGUGGAAGCGCAGUAAUGCGUUAAGCUAACCAGUACUAAUUGCUCGUGAGGCUUGACCCG
rnacentral:rRNA from 1 species